rnacentral:tRNA from 1 species
UCUAAUAUGGCAGAAUAGUGCAAUGGAUUUAAACCCCAUAAAUAAAGUUAAUUAUCACUUUUUUUAGAA